rnacentral:rRNA from 1 species
ACCACAAGAAGGCAUCCGAGACUUUACUUUCUGUCUAGUUUAGCUUAGCUUAGUUUAGCUCUCGAGCUUAGUUUAGUUCAACUCUCUAGCUUAGUUUAGUUCAGUUCUCUAGCUUAGUUAGAUAGCUUAGUUUAAAAGGCGACCGAAAGGGAGCGCUGCAGAAUACUCAUUUCUGUUAGCGUUAUCUUAAGUUUCCCGCUGAGAUUUUUCUCAAUUUUUACCGCUUUCUUAGAUUCCAAAGUGUUAGCUUAGUUUAAAUUUGACGUUGUACUCAGCUUUUAGUUUAAUCAAAGUUAUUUUCGCUUUUAAUCCGCGCAUUUACUUUUCUGUUAUUACCUGCAAUUCACUUGAUCCAGUAGUUAAAUUUCCAUUGAUCAAGCUAGCUAGUUUAAUUCUGUCUAGAUUAAAACCAGUAGUUAAAAACUCCCAAGUUAAAGCGUGGCAGCAGCCAACCCCCCUGUUCACUACUCACACACUCGACACACCAACUUCUCUGUGGGAUCGACCCCGAACUUGCCGCUUUACUGUUAAAGUUGUGCAAAAUUGAGAGUUAUAAAUUACUUUGGCAAGGCGGAAAGGGCAAGAGCUAGAUUGCAUUGAUUAAGUGGCAACGACAUUUGCUAACUGAUCCAAUCGGUUCGGUUAUCAUUCCAUAUAACUUGAUCCGCAUUUUAUUCAUGUUUUCGACCUCUUUCCAAGUCCUUCCAAAAUGGCGCCGUUACCGGGGAAACAUGGUGUUACUUUAUGUUUGUGCGUAGCGCGUAGGUGUAUAUAAUUUUGUUUCUCAUUUUUUUUGUUUUUCCUGCUGUUGAUGAGAAGGUACCACCAAGGCGAUUACUGGAAUCAUCCCUUGAUAUACAGAAGAACUAACGCUCAGUGGAGAGUCCAGGAAGCCGGCGUAUUGACCACUCGUUACAGAGCCGCACAAGCAGCAGAAGCCACCGAGCAGAACACAAACCCACCACCACACUAACGCUCAGGAAUCGGCUCUCUACACGCUCAUGAUUAGAGAGAGCCCACACAUGCCAUCGUCGCUACUCCUGGGAUGCGGAGCAUCGCAAUCAAAUCAGGAGUACUGGCCGUUUUGUCCCACUUCUACGGCCUUUCUAAGGAGUGCCCGUAUGCUUUUCUGGAGGAAUUCUGCCGAUACUGUGAUAUUCAGCCCGUGCCAGCUGGAUCCACAUCCGAAGAUUACAAGCUUAAAGCUAUUCCAUUCGUUUUGAAGGGGGACGCUGGUGUCUGGUUGU